CAAUACGGAGGGUGCAAGCGUUGUUCGGAAUUAUUGGGCGUAAAGGGCGCGUAGGCGGGCCAUUAAGUCUGAUGUGAAAUCCCUCGGCUCAACCGAGGACGUGCAUUGGAAACUGAUGGUCUUGAGUCCUGGAGAGGAAAGCGGAAUUCCCAGUGUAGAGGUGAAAUUCGUAGAUAUUGGGAGGAACACCAGCGGCGAAGGCGGCUUUCUGGACAGUGACUGACGCUGAGGUGCGAAAGCGUGGGUAGCAAACAGGAUUAGAUACCCUGGUAGUCCACGCCGUAAACGAUGGGUACUAGUUGGUGCGGGUGUUGACCCCUGCGCUGACGCAGCUAACGCAUUAAGUACCCCGCCUGGGGAGUACGGCCGCAAGGCUA
rnacentral:rRNA from 1 species